rnacentral:lncRNA from 1 species
ACAACAGUUUUCAGAUAUAAUCCCUAAAGUGGAGAACCGUUGACCUAGAUAGCACCAAAAUUGAGAUCAAAGAUGUAUACUAUUGUUCAACGCGUCACAACAAUGACACAUGUGAUGUUGCGAUCCACAUUCAAUCAUUUGUGUUUUCUUAAAUUAUCACUAGUGCCUACAUUCAAUCAUUUGUGUUUUCUUAAAUUAUCACCGGUGCCUACAUGCCAAUGUCGUGUCUAGUAUCUAUGUAUAUGUGCUUCAUACUUAAAGAAAUCCAUCUCAAACAAUGAUGAUGUGUUCAUUACAUCACAAAUUCACAAUAAAUCAUUAAAUCAAUAUAAAAGAACAACACACAAUUAUCUAGUUUCUCAAUGAAAUCAUAUAAAUUCUUCCCACAAGCUAUUAUUGCAUUGCCCAUUUAGCAUGGCAAAUGAAUCCAUUCAUAUGGCCCUGCGUGCAAAAACAUCUGUUGGAUAUUUUGAUAUUAUAAUUUAUUUUAAAGUUUAUUAAAAUAAUUUUAUAAAUUGUUUUAAAUGAAUUAAUGGUAUUAUUAACUAUUUGUUAAAUAUAUUUUACUUGGUCAAAGUGUAACUUAUUUUUCAUUAGUAUCAAUACUCAUUCAUUCCUAAUUAAUAGGCUAUGUAAUUGGCAAUUUAGAAAUUACUUUGGAAUGAUUUUUUGCGUGGCAUUGCAUAUAAGAGUGUGAUAGAAGAUAAUGGAAAGCGAUGAGAAAAUACUCAUGGAAGAGAUUGCUUCCUCUUCCUUUGUUUUAUAUGAGAUCAAAAAUCACACUAUUAAAAUAGAAAAUUAUUUUCCUCUUCACAUACAAUUGAGUUAUCUUCCUGGAUUACAUCACCGGUGUUUAAUUAUUUCUUGCUAGUUCUGUCACCUCGGAUAUGAUUCAUAUCCGGGAAGAACUUGUUGAAUCCUGGGGGAUUUGCGCUUAUGAGGCGGAUAUAUCAAAUUACUACACUCACAAGAGAUAAGUUCAUCUGAACUCUAUUUUAAUUUAUUCUCUAUAAUAUUUGUUGAGUAUUUCAAAUUUAUAUAAGGUUUAUUAUCUGAGUAGGUCCAAUUUUUACAACAACAUCUAAGAAGACUCCUAAAGAGAAACCCAAAACAAGUUUGGCAAAGAAACUAAUGCAUGCCUAAUUUUGUUAGUCUCUAUAAAUUCUAAGCCUAACCACAAAAAACACCAAUGCAAAAGUAAUCAAAGUUGUCAAACUUAAGGACCCAACAAAGUAUUCCCGAAAAUCAAAUUUGUAUAUUAUUAAAAUUGAGAGUCGCGCCUAAUUCAUCUUUACAAAACCGGCUUGUAAAGUGAGCAUUGCCCUCACUUUAUAAAUACAUAUUCAGUUCAUAUCGCAACCAAUGCGGGACUUCUUAACAUAUACUAUGUAUAAUUGAUUUUAGUCAAAGUGAAUUUAAGAUAAAAUGAUUUAUGUUUCGAAGCGGUCGCAUGAAAGAGAAUUGAACAAAAUAUUUGAUGGUAAAAAACACGGUUAGAGGUAAACACUACAGUCUACAAAGUCCUAAAUUCAAGUUAGAAUCAAUUCUACAAGCAAAAUCGAAUGCAAUCGAGAUCCUUGAACAUACUAAAAUCAAUUGUAAGUUUUCAGAUCACUUUUGGUUCACCCAAAAGUGAAUCCAAAAAUGUAAGCAAGGAAUAAAAUAUCAGGGCAUUGGAUCAAAUAUUAACCGUAUUUCAAUGUAUCUUUGCAUUUCCUGAAUCUUUAGCAGUUCUGCAUUACUCCAUCCUCCUGAUACAAUAACAAAUUUUGAAUAACCAAAUUCAUCGAUUCAAGCGAAUAGCAUGUAUCACCGUAUCAAUGAAAUGAAAAUUUCUUACAAAAUUACAUGUUAUUGAGGGAAUUAGAAUCAAUAUAAUGCAUUUGAAACAAGAAAA